AGUAACACGUGGAUAACCUACCUAUAAGACUGGGAUAACUUCGGGAAACCGGAGCUAAUACCGGAUGAUAUUUUGAACCGCAUGGUUCAAAAGUGAAAGACGGUCUUGCUGUCACUUAUAGAUGGAUCCGCGCUGCAUUAGCUAGUUGGUAAGGUAACGGCUUACCAAGGCAACGAUGCAUAGCCGACCUUAGAGGGUGAUCGGCCACACUGGAACUGAGACACGGUCCAG
rnacentral:rRNA from 1 species